rnacentral:rRNA from 1 species
UACGUAGGGGGCAAGCGUUGUCCGGAUUUAUUGGGCGUAAAGAGCGUGUAGGCGGUCAGGUAGGUCCGUUAUGAAAACUCGAGGCUCAACCUCGAGACGCCGAUGGAAACCAUCUGACUAGAGUCCGGAAGAGGAGAGUGGAAUUCCUGGUGUAGCGGUGAAAUGCGCAGAUAUCAGGAAGAACACCCGUGGCCAAGGCGGCUCUCUAGUACGGUACUGACGCUGAGACGCGAAAGCGUGGGGAGCGAACAGG